UACUAGAGUAGCACUCGCAUAUCAAUAAGCGGAGGAAAAGAAACUAACAAGGAUUCCCCUAGUAACGGCGAGUGAAGCGGGAAGAGCUCAAAUUUGAAAUCUUAAAGGGUUUCCCUUUACGAAUUGUAGUUUAAAGAAGUGUUUUCUGUUGAGGUUUUGGUAAAAGUUCUUUGGAAUAGGACAUCAUAGAGGGUGAGAAUCCCGUAUUUGACCUUUACUUUCAACUUUGUGAUACACUUUCAAAGAGUCGGAUUGUUUGGGAAUGCAGUCCAAAAUGGGUGGUAAAUUUCAUCUAAAGCUAAAUAUUGGCGAGAGACCGAUAGCGAACAAGUACCGUGAGGGAAAGAUGAAAAGAACUUUGAAAAGAGAGUUAAACAGUACGUGAAAUUGUCAAAAGGGAAGCGUUUGACACCAGUGUUGUUUUUCUGAAAAUCAAUUAAAGAACUGUUUAUGCUAAGUUGUUUAGACUUUAUCAGCUAUCUGUUUAGUUUUGAGCUUUUCUUUAAUGCACUUUUCAGUUAACAAGUCAACAUCAAUUUCUUUUGCUGUAAAAAAGCUUGAGGAAGGUGGCUUGAGAUUCGUCUUAAGUGUUUAUAGCCUCUUGCCUAUGCAGUCGGAGAGAUUGAGGUCUGCAGCGUAGGUCCUUCGGGGCUAAAUGCGUUUGUGCUAAGUUAUAGCAUUUUAUAGACAACUUGUUGACUAUGAUUUGUCUUGUAGCUUACUCGCUUAUGUUAUUUUACCUACGCUUAGGAUGUUGAACUACUGAGACAUAGA
rnacentral:rRNA from 1 species